GCGCGAAGAAUGCUGGGAUACUGGAGGUCGGCCCAGCGCUUCCUGCGGGUUUAGCGCUUUUUCCGAGUUACAGAGAAAACCCUGUGAGGAAUCAUUUUUCCAGAUGAAUAAUUUGAGACACAGAACUAUCAAGAAACUUGCUAAAGGCCACAGAUCUGCUUUGUGAGUGCUGUAAUUAGAACAAAAUGAAUGUCCUCGGAAUUAAAACCCCACGUCAGUAAUGAUUGACCACAAGGCAGGCUUGUUCAAUUGCACUUCAUCAUUUACUGUUGUACCAAGACCCUUACCAUUAUUAUAUUGUCCUAUGUUAAUUCUUUCAUUCACAUAUAUAGGAUGAGAAACAAAGGAAUAUUUAUCCUAUAUAAUGUUCCUUUAUGAUUUUUAAUACCAUUUUACUGUUGUUUAUGCCUAAAGCACCCAUUCAACUGAUGUUAUAAAUACAAAUUUGAAAUGUGGUAUGUUAUUUCCAUAUACUGUUAUAAUAAUUGAAUAUAGAGAGCAGACCAAAAUAAGAUGAAUGCUAGAAAAUAAACAAAAAUGUGGGAAAAGAGGCAAACUUUACCUAAUUGGGACUGAUAGCAAUUAGUACAUUACAUACAUGGAUGCUUCCUUUUCAUAGGAAGUAAGAUAAAUGGAAUGUGAAACACAAUGCAGAUGCUGUCCAAAUAUUGUGAGAGGGUUGCAAUGGGAGGUGAAAAUGUAGAAUCUGAAAGGCAUCAGUGCAUAUGGCAUCCAGAAAAAUGAGAAUGAUAAAGUAAGAACUUUUUGGUAUUUCCCGAAAUAGUGCCCAGACUUGUGACAGGAAUAUUUAGGUUACUGGUUAGGUAUCACUCUGCAGUGCCAUAAUUACAGGAGGAAAUUUUAGCAAGCUGUUUCAACCUAAAAGUAUUAUUUCUCCUUUAUUUCCUGGCUCCAUUGUCAUUUAACCCACUGCUGUCCUUAGCUCAUUUCUGAAGUAGAUAUCUAGAGAAAAAAUAAUUAACUCUCUCUGUGUAAAUACUUUUCAUUGUAAAUUAAUAAACUUUUCUGGUGACUUUAUGGAACAUAGGCAUAAAUUCAGUUAGAUGAGCUUCUGGAUCUGAGGACUGAGUGAGGAAAGAAAUUUUGGACUAGUGUUCAGCCUAAGCAACAUUGCUAAGUAAAGUGAUAAUGAAAUUAGAAACCAAGCCACAGGGUCUUGUAAAUGUGCUUCAGACUCUCAUUUAUAUUCAGUGAAAUUCUGGUUAUUCUCAUGAGUCAAAUAUUAGAAAUAAAAUGUUAAGUCAAAUUCUCCUUUUUCAGUAUAUUGGUACUGAAGAACUCCUUAGUACUCAGAUAAUUCUGAAUAGGGAUAUAAUUAUCCCAAAAAUAUAUUUGUGGGAGCUGACUUCUGUAUUGUGAAAAUGUCAACUGAAUUUGGUAACACGUACCUGAAAGUUCCGGAAACAUAAAUAUUACCCACAAAUAGGGCGUUGAUAUUUCAUCUUAUUGUUUAUUCUGAACUUCACUCUUAUGAAAAAGCCAAAGGGUGUCAUCCCUUUUCAGGCUAGGGACUAUGACUAAAGAGUUUUAUUUUAUAUAAUUUAUUAGGCUUUUACAAUUCCCCUCAUGCUUCUUAUGUCCUUUUCUGGUGUCAGCAUUCUUAUAGGCUAAAUUUCUAAAGCAGAAAUGGUGUGCAUGUCAAUAUAGUUAGCAAGAAAUUAGGGAGUAUAUUAUCCACUCAAAGCAAGUCUUGGAGAUGAGGAGAGAAAGAAAUCUCUAGAGAUAGAUGCAGUAGGGGCAGUCUUGAAGAGAAAAGGAAUGCAGCCUAUGGAAUUUGUCUUACAACUUGCAAGUCACAUAGUAUUAGAAAUUAAGCCACAGAGCCUGGUGAUAUUAUGUUUCAUAAAAUUCCUAUCAGUAGUUACUGCGAGUCAUAAAUCUUCAUCACGAUGAGUUCCUGGGGCCUACAUGAAAGAAGAACAAAAGCUGUUAUAAAUUACCUUGAGCCAGAGACUGGACCCAGCAGAUUCCAUAGAAUAGACUGCCUGUCUCCUGUUGCUCUCAUUGGAUGAGGGUCUCUUGAAUUAAGCACCAAAAGCAGAAAGCAAAAGGAAAAUAACAUCACAGAUGUGCUGACCAUACUGCACCCUGCCUGCCUAGUUUCUGCCACAGACUCCAUCAGCUCUCCUUUCAGAACCUGCAGUUACCCUCACGGUCUUGUGCCUCCUUCUGAUUAUAUGUUGGGUAGUUUCUACACAUACACCUCUGACUAAUUAAUCUCUACCUCACAUCACCUGAAGAGAUCAAGCAAUGCUGGGUUAAUGCCAAGGGCUCAGGGAUGGUAAGCAGAGGCAAAGCAUGCACAAAUAGGAAAGCCACCACCUAGGUUCUUAUGAAAAGCAUGCAUUUUUAGAAUAUUAGAAAAAUACGCUAUGGUUAGCUUAAUUCUGAAUUCUGGGGUGAAUUCCAAGCAAACUGAAAUUCCCCAUGUCCUGAGCAAAGCAAGUCUGUACAUGUGGUGGCCUUUAUGUCAUCUUCCCAGGUAAUCACUUUUCUCACCUUAGAAUGGUAUGACCAGGUUACCAAGAAUAUUUCCCCUUGCAUGGAGGGGGCUGAUUCAUGAAACAGUGACUUGCACAGUUGGGCCACAGUGUGUCCUGGAUUUUAUGAACUAGCCAAGAGCCAGGGUGUGGGCUGUCUAUGCAAUUCUGCCCCCAACUUGUGUCAGCAUGUCCAGAUAUUUAAGCAAAGUUUAAGUACGUGCUCAUUUGUGUGAAGAAAAAUCCAACAAAGGAAUGCAAUCAUUAUCGGCCUCUGUAUCAAUAGGAAAGUCAAAUCUGGUCAGCAUUUCAAAUGAAUUCAAAUUUAUUAUUUUAAAAAGCUCUGUUAUUAGAAUGUUAGUCCUAAUGCAAUUCUUUUUAUAUAUUAUUUAUCUGAUUCAUUUCAUUAAACUUUAUAAGCCUCCCACAAGGUAGAGUUUUAUCUAUUUUAGAAAUGUAAUACGACUUUUAAAAUACCAUAAUUAAUCAAUAACAAAGUUAAAGAAAAACAGCCCUGAGUUUCUUAAUCUUUAUUUAUUUGGGCAAGAUGGGACAAGGCUAACUUCUGACACUUUUCCCUGAUAAACACAUUUCAUGUGA